UACGUAGGGUGCGAGCGUUGUCCGGAAUUAUUGGGCGUAAAGAGCUUGUAGGCGGUCUGUCGCGUCUGCUGUGAAAAUCCGGGGCUCAACUCCGGAUCUGCGGUGGGUACGGGCAGACUAGAGUGAUGUAGGGGAGACUGGAAUUCCUGGUGUAGCGGUGGAAUGCGCAGAUAUCAGGAGGAACACCGAUGGCGAAGGCAGGUCUCUGGGCCGCAACUGACGCUGAGGAGCGAAAGCAUGGGGAGCGAACAGG
rnacentral:rRNA from 1 species